rnacentral:rRNA from 1 species
GAUGAACGCUGGCGGCGUGCCUAACACAUGCAAGUCGAGCGAACAGACGAGGAUUUUGCUUGUCUGACGCUAGGGGCGGACGGGUGAUGAACACGAGUAUAACUUACCUAGAAGACUGGGAUAAGUUCGGGAACCCGGAUAUAACACCGGAUAAGAUAGUGAAACGCAUGGUUCUUUAGUGAUAGACGUAUCUGCUGUCCCUAGUAGGUGGUUCCGGGCCGGAUUAGCUAGUUGGUAGGGUAACGGCUUACCAAGGCUACGAUGCGUAGCCGACCUGAGAGGGUGAUCGGCCACACUGGAACUGAGACACGGUCCAGACUCCUACGGGAGGCAGCAGUAGGGAAUAUUCGGCAAUGGGCGAAAGCCUGACGCAGCCACGCCGCGUGUGUGAAGAAGGUCUUCGGAUCGUAAAGCUCUGUUAUUAGGGAGGAACAAAUGUGUAAGUAACUCUGGACGUCUUGACGGUACCUAAACAGAAAGCAACGGCUAACUACGUG